CUAUCUGAGUCUGGGGCUAACUGGCUGGUAACAUUGUCCUGAUAGCAGUCAUUCCAGCCCUUAACGACUAUUAAUACAGACCUGAUAAUCAUAUUCACUGAUGACGUCAAAAGGGUUCCUAUGACACAACAGCCGCAAGCUAAAUACCGU
rnacentral:sRNA from 1 species